ACAGGUGUGGGGGCAAUUUUGUUGGAUCAACCAAACCCAGCGUUUUAUAAAUUAUAUUGGCAUUCAAGACUACACUAGGAAAUACUGUACUCAAUAAAACAAUGGGUAAAGUCAAAUUUAUACGAAAGUGGACCUAACUGAUAAUACACUUGAUUGAUGUGAGAUCUUAUAAAAGGAAUAUAAAUGCGUAUAAUUCUUCAUAUAUUUAGUUUGGUUUGAUUUCUGUUAACAACUGAAUAACACUAU
rnacentral:lncRNA from 1 species